AGCGAACGCUGGCGGCAGGCCUAACACAUGCAAGUCGAACGAACCUUUCGGGGUUAGUGGCGGACGGGUGAGUAACACGUGGGAACGUGCCUUUAGGUUCGGAAUAACUCAGGGAAACUUGUGCUAAUACCGAAUGUGCCCUUCGGGGGAAUGAUUAAUCGCCUUUAGAGCGGCCCGCGUCUGAUUAGCUAGUUGGUUGAGGUAAUGGCUCACCAAGGCGACGAUCAGUAGCUGGUCUGAGAGGAUGAUCAGCCACAUUGGGACUGAGACACGGCCCAAACUCCUACGGGAGGCAGCAGUGGGGAAUCUUGCGCAAUGGGCGAAAGCCUGACGCAGCCAUGCCGCGUGAAUGAUGAAGGUCUUAGGAUUGUAAAAUUCUUUCACCGGGGACGAUAAUGACGGUACCCGGAGAAGAAGCCCCGGCUAACUUCGCG
rnacentral:rRNA from 1 species